rnacentral:misc_RNA from 1 species
GAACCCCCAUAUGUCGUCCGUGGCAUGUGUUGGGCCGUUCGCCUGUGACGGCGUGGCCUCGAAACGAUCGGGACGUAAGCGGACGAAAUCCCUUGGGAUUGACCGUCGAUCGGCCCCCGGAUCACUGAGA